rnacentral:rRNA from 1 species
GAUGAACGCUAGCGGCAGGCCUAACACAUGCAAGUCGAGGGGUAGAAGUUGCUUGCAACUUUGAGACCGGCGCACGGGUGCGUAACGCGUAUGCAAUCUGCCUUGUACUGAGGGAUAGCCCAGAGAAAUUUGGAUUAAUACCUCAUAGCAUUAUGAAAUCGCAUGGUUUUAUAAUUAAAGUUCCAACGGUACAAGAUGAGCAUGCGUCCCAUUAGUUAGUUGGUAAGGUAACGGCUUACCAAGACGAUGAUGGGUAGGGGUCCUGAGAGGGAGAUCCCCCACACUGGUACUGAGACACGGACCAGACUCCUACGGGAGGCAGCAGUGAGGAAUAUUGGUCAAUGGGCGCAAGCCUGAACCAGCCAUGCCGCGUGCAGGAUGACGGUCCUAUGGAUUGUAAACUGCUUUUAUACGGGAAGAAACACUCCUUUGCGAAGGAGACUGACGGUACCAGACGAAUAAGCACCGGCUAACUCCGUGCCAGCAGCCGCGGUAACAC